CCAUGNGUAGCGGUGAAAUGCGUAGAUAUAUGGAGGAACACCAGUGGCGAAAGCGGCUCUCUGNUCUGUCACUGACGCUGAGGCUCGAAAGCGUGGGUAGCGAACAGGAUUAGAUACCCUGGUAGUNCACGCCGUAAACGAUGAGUGCUAGGUGUUAGGCCCUUUCCGGGGCUUAGUGCCGGAGCUAACGCAAUAAGCACUCCGCCUGGGGAGUACGACCGCAAGGUUGAAACUCAAAGGAAUUGACGGGGGCCCGCACAAGCGGUGGAGCAUGUGGUUUAAUUCGAAGCAACGCGAAGAACCUUACCAGGUCUUGACAUCCCGAUGCUAUUCUUAGAGAUAGGAAGUUACUUCGGUACAUCGGAGACAGGUGGUGCAUGGUUGUCGUCAGCUCGUGUCGUGAGAUGUUGGGUUAAGUCCCGCAACGAGCGCAACCCUUAUUGUUAGUUGCCAUCAUUAAGUUGGGCACUCUAGCGAGACUGCCGGUAAUAAACCGGAGGAAGGUGGGGAUGACGUCAAAUCAUCAUGCCCCUUAUGACCUGGGCUACACACGUGCUACAAUGGUCGGUACAACGAGUUGCGAGCCGGUGACGGCAAGCUAAUCUCUGAAAGCCGAUCUCAGUUCGGAUUGGAGGCUGCAACUCGCCUCCAUGAAGUCGGAAUCGCUAGUAAUCGCGGAUCAGCACGCCGCGGUGAAUACGUUCCCGGGCCUUGUACACACC
rnacentral:rRNA from 1 species